GACGAACGCUGGCGGCGUGCUUAACACAUGCCAGUCGAACGGAAAGGCCCUGCUUUUGUGGGGUGCUCGAGUGGCGAACGGGUGAGUAACACGUGAGUAACCUGCCCUUGACUUUGGGAUAACUUCAGGAAACUGGGGCUAAUACCGGAUAGGAGCUCCUGCUGCAUGGUGGGGGUUGGAAAGUUUCGGCGGUUGGGGAUGGACUCGCGGCUUAUCCGCUUGUUGGUGUGGUAGUGGCUUACCAAGGCUUUGACGGGUAGCCGGCCUGAGAGGGUGACCGGCCACAUUGGGACUGAGAUACGGACCAGACUCCUACGGGAGGCAGCAGUGGGGAAUAUUGCACAGUGGGCGGAAGCCUGAUGCAGCAACGCCGCGUGCGGGAUGACGGCCUUCGGGUUGUAAACCGCUUUCGCAUGUGACGAAGCGUGAGUGACGGUAAUGGGUAAAGAAGCACCGGCUAACUACGUG
rnacentral:rRNA from 1 species